rnacentral:tRNA from 2 species
AUUCCUGUCGUUUAGUGGUUUAAGACAAUGCUUUUUCAUGGCAUCAACGUGAGUUCAAAUCUCACCAGGAGUA